UUUUAUGGAGAGUUUGAUCCUGGCUCAGGAUGAACGCUGGCGGCGUGCCUAAUACAUGCAAGUCGAGCGAACGGACGAGAAGCUUGCUUCUCUGAUGUUAGCGGCGGACGGGUGAGUAACACGUGGAUAACCUACCUAUAAGACUGGGAUAACUUCGGGAAACCGGAGCUAAUACCGGAUAAUAUUUUGAACCGCAUGGUUCAAAAGUGAAAGACGGUCUUGCUGUCACUUAUAGAUGGAUCCGCGCUGCAUUAGCUAGUUGGUAAGGUAACGGCUUACCAAGGCAACGAUGCAUAGCCGACCUGAGAGGGUGAUCGGCCACACUGGAACUGAGACACGGUCCAGACUCCUACGGGAGGCAGCAGUAGGGAAUCUUCCGCAAUGGGCGAAAGCCUGACGGAGCAACGCCGCGUGAGUGAUGAAGGUCUUCGGAUCGUAAAACUCUGUUAUUAGGGAAGAACAUAUGUGUAAGUAACUG
rnacentral:rRNA from 1 species